UACAGAGGGGGCAAGCGUUGUUCGGAAUUACUGGGCGUAAAGGGUUUGUAGGUGGCCACUUAAGUCAGACGUGAAAUCCCUCAGCUUAACUGGGGAACUGCGUCUGAUACUGAGUGGCUUGAGUGCGAGGAGAGGACGCGAAUUCCAGGUGUAGCGGUGAAAUGCGUAGAUAUCUGGAGGAACACCGGUGGCGAAGGCGGCGUUCUGGACUGUAACUGACACUGAAAAACGAAAGCCAGGGGAGCAAACGGG
rnacentral:rRNA from 1 species